CUACAGGCUUAACACAUGCAAGUCGAGGGGCAGCAUGGUCUUAGCUUGCUAAGGCCGAUGGCGACCGGCGCACGGGUGAGUAACACGUAUCCAACCUGCCGUCUACUCUUGGACAGCCUUCUGAAAGGAAGAUUAAUACAAGAUGGCAUCAUGAGUCCGCAUGUUCACAUGAUUAAAGGUAUUCCGGUAGACGAUGGGGAUGCGUUCCAUUAGAUAGUAGGCGGGGUAACGGCCCACCUAGUCUUCGAUGGAUAGGGGUUCUGAGAGGAAGGUCCCCCACAUUGGAACUGAGACACGGUCCAAACUCCUACGGGAGGCAGCAGUGAGGAAUAUUGGUCAAUGGGCGCAGGCCUGAACCAGCCAAGUAGCGUGAAGGAUGACUGCCCUAUGGGUUGUAAACUUCUUUUAUAAAGGAAUAAAGUCGGGUAUGUAUACCCGUUUGCAUGUACUUUAUGAAUAAGGAUCGGCUAACUCCGUGCCAGCAGCCGCGGUAAUACGGAGGAUCCGAGCGUUAUCCGGAUUUAUUGGGUUUAAAGGGAGCGUAGAUGGAUGUUUAAGUCAGUUGUGAAAGUUUGCGGCUCAACCGUAAAAUUGCAGUUGAUACUGGAUAUCUUGAGUGCAGUUGAGGCAGGCGGAAUUCGUGGUGUAGCGGUGAAAUGCUUAGAUAUCACGAAGAACUCCGAUUGCGAAGGCAGCCUGCUAAGCUGCAACUGACAUUGAG
rnacentral:rRNA from 1 species